rnacentral:rRNA from 1 species
UGGGGAAUAUUGCACAACGGGCGAAAGCCUGAUGCAGCAACGCCGCGUGAGGGACGACGGCCUUCGGGUUGUAAACCUCUUUUAGCAAGGAAGAAGCGAAAGUGACGGUACUUGCAGAAAAAGCGCCGGCUAACUACGUGCCAGCAGCCGCGGUAAUACGUAGGGCGCAAGCGUUAUCCGGAAUUAUUGGGCGUAAAGAGCUCGUAGGCGGUUUGUCGCGUCUGCUGUGAAAACCCGAGGCUCAACCUCGGGCCUGCAGUGGGUACGGGCAGACUAGAGUGCGGUAGGGGAGAUUGGAACUCCUGGUGUAGCGGUGGAAUGCGCAGAUAUCAGGAAGAACACCGAUGGCGAAGGCAGAUCUCUGGGCCGUAACUGACGCUGAGGAGCGAAAAGGGUGGGGAGCAAAACAGGCUUAGAUACCCUGGUAGUCCACCCCGUAAACGUUGGGAACUAGUUGUGGGGUCCAUUCCACGGAUUCCGUGACGCAGCUAACGCAUUAAGUUCCCCGCUUGGGGAGUACGGCCGCAAGGCUAAAACUGCAAAUGAAUUGACGGGGUCAU